GAUGAAGAACGUAGCGAAAUGCGAUAAGUAAUGUGAAUUGCAGAAUUCAGUGAAUCAUCGAAUCUUUGAACGCACAUUGCGCCCCUUGGUAUCCCGAGGGGCAUGCCUGUUCGAGCGUCAUUUCACCACUCAAGCCUGGCUUGGUGUUGGGCGACGUCCUCUUUGGGGACGCGCCUCGAAACGCUCGGCGGCGUGGCACCGGCUUUAAGCGUAGCAGAAUCUUUCGCUUUGGAAGUCGGGGCCCCGUCUGCCGGAAGACCUGCUCGCAAGGUUGACCUCGGAUCAGGCAGGGAUACCCGCUGAACUUAAGCAUAUCAAUAAGCGGAGGA
rnacentral:misc_RNA from 1 species